rnacentral:rRNA from 1 species
UACGUAGGGGGCAAGCGUUGUCCGGAAUCAUUGGGCGUAAAGCGCGUGUAGGCGGCUCGAUAAGUCUGCUGUGAAAGUUCAGGGCUCAACCCUGAAAUGCCGGUGGAAACUGUCGAGCUAGAGUACGGAAGAGGUGAGUGGAAUUCCUGGUGUAGCGGUGAAAUGCGCAGAUAUCAGGAGGAACACCAAUGGCGAAGGCAGCUCACUGGGACGUUACUGACGCUGAGACGCGAAAGCAUGGGGAGCAAACAGG